AAGAGAUUUUCAAAUGUUUCAAGUAUUAUUCCCACUUCUAUUCAUAUGUUAUUGAAAGUUUAUCUUUAAUUUCAGUGUUAAUAGUUGUUUACCCAUUUAUUCUUUCCAUUUAAUCAUAUUUUACUGCUUCACUAGAAGUGAAGCUGAAGUAAAGACAAAAGCAUAGUGUUCUCAGAUAUGAUUUACCCAGGACAUCUCCUCUGUACCUGGCUCUCUACGAGCCGUUUCACUCCCAGGAAGGGGAGAGCAGGACGUUCUUAUCUAUACACUCCCAAAUACCAAGAGGGGCCCAUUCUUCAGCCACACACACACACACUCUGAGAUCAUACACACACACACACACAUACUCUGAAACGCUAUAAAUAAAGAACUGCCGCAUACGCUGGUUGUGAGCCUGAGACAGCAGCGCUCACCCAGCGUGCGCACGUUGUUACCAUCUAAACUGUUUUGAGUGUCUUUAUUUCGCCUGAAGAAUAUCUUGUUUAAAUAUUUACUCCUUACAUUUAUUUGGUCCUCCGAGCCGGAUUAGGACAUUGAAUUUUAACUAAUUUUGUGCUCCAACAGAGUGACCUCGUCGUUUCCUGGAUUCGUGAACCCACGCUGCAAAGUCUGUCAGCCUGUUUCUAGUGAAACAGUAAAGACCAACUACGUGAAUUCGCCGUUGGCCAGCGUUUUUAGCAAGAGGUCCACGAUCCCAGGGAGCGAGGAGGAUUCUCUCUGACCGGCAUUUUCAUCCGAACCAGUUUCUUGCAGGUUGAAACCAGGCGACUGGAUCCUGAUUAAAGUACUCCAAAGGAAAAACUGGAGCUCUCCAAGGUGGGAAGGCCCCUACCAGGUCCUGCUCACCACACCCACAGCAUGCAAAAUUGCUGAACGACCCUCGUGGAUUCAUCAAAGCCACACCAAAAAGGUUGAACCAAUCCGAGAACCACAAACUCCCGAGCAGAAAAGUGAGCAAUAAAGUCUAGACUGCAGACCGCUCUAACCUCUGGUGUUCACUUGGUGGGGAGAAGGGCUAUCAGUGGCAACACUGAGACACUCGCUCCUCUUGCUGGGUGUCUACUCAUUGGAGGCCAAGGGUGUGUCCACGGUCGAGAAGAGGAGAAACGCUCACAGAGGGAGACCUGAUGGAGAUGGAAAUACUAAAUGCAAACCAGGAUGCCCCUGAGGGUGAGAAACCGCACAGACGACGUCGAUGCUGGACAAGAGGAUGCCAACUGACCACUGUCACAACGAUGUGUUCCAUGCUCGUGUUCACAGUAUUCUUAUCACUGGCCCUGGUAGGCAUGAACACGGCCUGCACCAGCAACCCAUGUGACCCACACUGCCCGAGGAUUUACCGGCAGGCUCCAAAUGUGACGUGCCCUGAAAGGGGAACCAUUUUUAAGCUGCAGCCUAUGCCCAGAAGAACGCGCAGCGCAACGAGAAACAAAGAAGUGGAGAACAAUGCUGCACCUUCAUACCUAACAACACUGCAGCUGACGGCAGUCUGACCAGAGCCCUGGAAAGACUGAAGACCCUGAAUGAGAGAAUGAAAGAACAUUCUGGAGUGGACACUUCCAUGUGGGACAGCUGGAUGGACAUGUUUGGAAAGUACCGCAGCUUAGUGUCAUCAAUCCUAGUGUCAAUAGCUGUUUUUGCAGCCAUAUUGACCCUAUGUGGCUGUUGUUGUAUUCCCUGCAUAAGAUCCAUGAUCAACAGACUGAUAGCCACAGCUAUUACACCGGACCCUGUCGGCCAAAAAGAAAUUAUGACACUGCUGGAGCACGCCGACACUGACUUAAACACCGACGACGAAGAUGAAGAAACAACCUGUAACUAAAAGAAAAAAGACACUCCUGUUAAUAAUGAAGCAACAGUUAAAAAUGCACUGUCAAGAGACUGUAUGCUGAUAAAAGUUAAAAUGUGUAAAACAAAUUAACAACAGGAGGGAUAUGUUAAGAGAUUUUCAAAUGUUUCAAGUAUUAUUCCCACUUCUAUUCAUAUGUUAUUGAAAGUUUAUCUUUAAUUUCAGUGUUAAUAGUUGUUUACCCAUUUAUUCUUUCCAUUUAAUCGUAUUUUACUGCUUCACUAGAAGUGAAGCUGAAGUAAAGACAAAAGCAUAGUGUUCUCAGAUAUGAUUUACCCAGGACAUCUCCUCUGUACCUGGCUCUCUACGAGCCGUUUCACUCCCAGGAAGGGGAGAGCAGGACGUUCUUAUCUAUACACUCCCAAAUACCAAGAGGGGCCCAUUCUUCAGCCACACACACACACACUCUGAGAUCAUACACACACACACACACAUACUCUGAAACGCUAUAAAUAAAGAACUGCCGCAUACGCUGGUUGUGAGCCUGAGACAGCAGCGCUCACCCAGCGUGCGCACGUUGUUACCAUCUAAA